rnacentral:rRNA from 2 species
UAUUCUGGUGUCCUAGGCGUAGAGGAACCACACCAAUCCAUCCCGAAUUUGGUGGUUAAACUCUACUGCGGUGACGAUACUGUAGGGGAGGUCCUGCGGCAAAAUAGCUCGAUGCCAGAAUGAUAAAAAGCUUAACACCUCUUAUUUGACUUUUUCACUAUUUUGAAAUACGAAAAAGAUCCAAAUCCAAAACACAAAGGUCGUCUUAUUCAAAACCUCAAUCAUCCCCUCUCUCCCACUUCACACCUCAGAACGCACUGUUCUUAUAGAGAGAAAGGCGCUUUCCCAUCUUCUUAACCCGAAAUGAAAUGGCUGAGGAGAAGAAGGUUCCUUUUGGGGGGUAUCCCCGGGAAGAGAUCCAGUGGAGACGGGGU